GACGCAACGCGAAGAACCUUACCAAGGCUUGACAUACACCGGAAACGUCUGGAGACAGGCGCCCCCUUGUGGUCGGUGUACAGGUGGUGCAUGGCUGUCGUCAGCUCGUGUCGUGAGAUGUUGGGUUAAGUCCCGCAACGAGCGCAACCCUUGUUCUGUGUUGCCAGCAUGCCCUUCGGGGUGAUGGGGACUCACAGGAGACUGCCGGGGUCAACUCGGAGGAAGGUGGGGACGACGUCAAGUCAUCAUGCCCCUUAUGUCUUGGGCUGCACACGUGCUACAAUGGCCGGUACAAUGAGC
rnacentral:rRNA from 1 species